GGGGGAACACUGGGCAACACAGCCUUUCCCGGACUUUUAAUCCGGUUGGCAGGGUUCGAGUCCCUGGCGGCCCA
rnacentral:tRNA from 1 species